rnacentral:rRNA from 1 species
GGAUGCGAUCAUACCAGCACUAAAGCACCGGAUCCCAUUAGAACUCCGAAGUUAAGCGUGCUUGGGCGAGAGUAGUACUAGGAUGGGUGACCUCCUGGGAAGUCCUCGUGUUGCAUUUC